rnacentral:lncRNA from 1 species
UCACUGCGCAGGUUUGCUGUGUCCUGAGCGUUUUGCUGUUUCUCAGGGCCCUGGGCCCCGAGCUCAGAGGCGAAGGCCGAGGGGGUGGAGCUGCUGGGAGUGAGACCCCCAAAAACGGCCCCCCAACCAGGAACCCAGAAGCUUUCCCGCUGCCUUCCCUCAGCCUGGUAUGUCUGGGGAUCGGUGGGAAGCUCUGACCGCAGGGGCCUGGCAGGCUUGAAGCUUGUUUGAUGGAGGGGGGCCCCAGCGAGGAGCAGGGGCCAGCUGCAGGUGGACAGAAGGCCAGGGGUGCAGCAGAGCCUGGGCCCCCGUGCUCCAGCUCGGGUGUGGAAGGCCACUGCAGAUGCCUGCCAGUCGGGGGAAAGCCCCAGGAGGGAAGUUAAGCAGGUCAGGGGAGAACUGGCAGGUGGUUAGUGCCCAAGGCAGCAUCUCUGCUCCCACGGGACCCCCUCCCCGACCGGAUCGGGCCUUGGGCUUGGGUUAGUGAUGAGGGUUGAGAGGGCUGACACUGGAGGGACACUGGCCCUGGUCUGCCGCCUGGUAGCUGUGAGACCGUGGGCAGGCAAGGUCACCACGCUGAACCUGUUUCUCAUCUGGACAGCAAGCGUAGUUCCAUCUCACAGGAGCAACUUAACACAAAACCAGGCUCUUCGCUGAUACUCCGUGGGCUGUCAACAAAUGGUGGACAAACGAGUUUCCUUCUGACACGAGGACCGGCCCCAGGGGGCCAGCAGGAGCCCAGCGCCCCCCUCCUGGGCCUGAGUGAGCCCCUGGGCCUGGGACCCUCGCUGCUCUCUCUCUACCCGGAGGACGCUGCCGCCGCCGCCCAGCCUGCGAGCCCCUUCCAGCCAGUGGCCAGCUCGGCCCGCGCCCACUGAGCCAGCUCCGCGUCCCGCCCCCCUUCUCCUCCCGCCCCCGGGAGAACCUCAGCCACACUCCAAGCCGGCAGCCAGCACACAGGAUGGGGACCCCCUCCUGAGCGGCCCCCGCCAGCCCUGGGCCUACCUCAGCCCCCACCCCUCUGUGUGCUCCCAAGCUGGGGGGCCGAGUGGGGUGAUCUCAGCUCAGUGACCUCUGUGGGAGGGGGUGCUCGGCCCCCUCCUCCUCUCUCAGGACUUCCCGAUCCGUGAUUACCUCACCACCCUCCCUCCGACUCUUGGAUUCAUUUUGGGGAUGCAGGGCUGGGGAGGGCUGGGGGUCAGAUCCGUGAUUUGAGUACGGAUAACUGAAAUCACAUUUUUUUCCCUGUCCCUCUUUUAGUUUUGUUCUUCUUCUCUUUCUGAUGUGGUCUUGAAUCACUAGGAAUUGCCCAAGGUCCACAAGCAAGUGGCGCUCUGACCUUCCCCCUCCUCAGGUAUCAGUGGGGGAAGGCACUGGGCCAGACCUCACCCCCAGAGACUGCUGUUGAGGCCUCGGCCUUCCACGCUGGCCCCCCACCCCCCCAGCUCUGCCUGGCCCCCCACUCAGGAGUCCCUGCUACCCCCAGCUUCACCAGGGCAGUGACUCCACUGUGGUCUUCCUAUUCCUGGGGUCGCCUCCACCCUCCUCUGGUUCCAGACCGUGCAACCUGACCACUGGUUCUAGGCUGCACAACGUUCUGCCUUCUCCUGGUUCCAGACCGCACAAUCCACAGCACGGCCUGGUCCAGACCUCACAGCCUUUCCCAUCCUGGGCCGCACACCCUCCGCACUCUGGAUCUACAGCCUGUGACCACCCAUGCCCCCGGCUCUAGAACUCACUCUAGAACUCUGGUUUCCUCUUGCUCUGGAUUUCUCCUCGUAAAUCCCUCUGGUCCUCAGUGUCACACCCUCUAACCUCUUUUGGUCCCAGAUCUUACAACUAAUGACUUCCUCUGGUUCUGGACCGCACAACUCCAGG